CAAAAUAUAGCUUAACUAAAGCAUCUUGCUUACACCAAGAAAAUGCCUGUUAAACCCAGACUAUUUUGA
rnacentral:tRNA from 1 species